AUUGAACGCUGGCGGCAGGCCUAACACAUGCAAGUCGAACGAGUGGCGGACGGGUGAGUAAUGUCUGGGAAACUGCCUGAUGGAGGGGGAUAACUACUGGAAACGGUAGCUAAUACCGCAUACCAUCAGAUGUGCCCAGAUGGGAUUAGCUAGUAGGUAAGGUAAUGGCUUACCUAGGCGACGAUCCCUAGCUGGUCUGAGAGGAUGAUCAGCCACACUGGGACUGAGACACGGCCCAGACUCCUACGGGAGGCAGCAGUGGGGAAUAUUGCACAAUGGGCGCAAGCCUGAUGCAGCCAUGCCGCGUGUAUGAAGAAGGCCCUAGGGUUGUAAAGUACUUUCAGCGGGGAGGCGUUACCCGCAGAAGAAGCACCGGCUAACUCCGUGCCAGCAGCCGCGGUAAUUC
rnacentral:rRNA from 1 species